CGUAGGUGGUUUGUUAAGUCAGAUGUGAAAGCCCCGGGCUCAACCUGGGAACUGCAUUUGAUACUGGCAGGCUAGAGUAUGGUAGAGGGAAGUGGAAUUCCGGGUGUAGCGGUGAAAUGCGUAGAUAUCCGGAAGAACACCAGUGGCGAAGGCGGCUUCCUGGACCAAUACUGACGCUGAGGUGCGAAAGCGUGGGGAGCAAACA
rnacentral:rRNA from 1 species